GCCUACGGGGGGCAGCAGUGAGGAAUAUUGGUCAAUGGGCGGAAGCCUGAACCAGCCAAGUCGCGUGAGGGAAUAAGGCCCUACGGGUCGUAAACCUCUUUUGUCGGGGAGCAAGGCCCGCCACGUGUGGCGGGAAGGAGAGUACCCGAAGAAAAAGCAUCGGCUAACUCCGUGCCAGCAGCCGCGGUAAUACGGAGGAUGCGAGCGUUAUCCGGAUUUAUUGGGUUUAAAGGGUGCGGAGGCGGAAGGUUAAGUCAGCGGUCAAAUGCCGGUGCUCAA
rnacentral:rRNA from 1 species